GGGCAAAGGACUUUGGCAAUGAGCCUUGUAGAUUAUUCAUGUCUAACUGGAGAUGACGCAGGUGUCGAAGAGAAGACAAUUCAGGAGGGAUGAUUCCAAAGAAGUUAUUUUCAAUGAGGUUGAGGACUCGAAGCCCUGUGAGGUUUGAAAUGAUUGGUGACAGUGGACCAGUGAGUUCACUGCUUGUCAGAUUGAGUUUUACCACACGGUGAUGAUGACGCCUGUCACAUGUGACCCCUGUAAAGUUGCAAACUUCUACUGCUCCAAUCCAGUUUGCAAGCCUAGAAUUGGGAUCGAAAACUAUGGUCUUCCUAAAUGCUAGAAGAGCAGCCUUGUCUUUUAGCAACGAAUGGUGGAGAUGGCGGUGGUGACCUGAAACUACAAAGGAAGAUGUUAAAACUAAAUGCUGGAGCAGGAGCAGCUGCAGCAGAAAAACUGUCCUAGUGGCUGCCAUUUUUAUUGUGCUGCGUGCAAAAUUUCAACCUAUGCUGUUGGAAUAUGCUGUGCCACGCAUAGUUGCACAUACAUGUGAUACACAAAGGGAUACACGUGCCGUACUCAAGUGUGUAGGGCUGCAAAUGAGUUGAGCAUCACCAUCUCUUGCAAAUUUCAUGAGCUUAGAUGCUCCAAAUCCAACUAAAGGUUUUCUUUCCCCACAUAAAAUUAAGUUGUAAAUAAAUUAUUCAUAAAAUCAUUUGAAACACCAGAAAUACUUGAGUAACAUUUAUUCUUUUUAUAAUUUUAUAUAAUGAAGUGCAUAAAAUUUAAUUAUA